ACUAUAAAAAAUCAUAAACUAAAAUAUUUAAAAGAGUUGUACCUCAUAAGCCAGGAGCAUAGUACUGACAAUAGAAAGCUAAUCGAGGAGCUAAAAGAAGAUAUCGUAAAAUGUGGCAACCCAUCGAUGCAACAGCUACGGGACACAACUUUGAUAAUAAAUUCGAAAUCAAUAUUACCAGGCAGGGAAGACUGGAAGGAAGGUGAAGGUACCCAUACAAGCGGAAGCUACCUGGUACACUGAUGGCUCAAAAAUAUCUGAGUGUGUGUAGGAGUUGGUAUAAUGAAACAAAUUCCACCAAAAAUCAAGAAUGCAUUUUCAUCGCUAGUGGAUUAUACUGGGAAAAAUACUAUAAGUCCUUACUACAAGACUUUGUGCAUCCAUAAUCACCACUAGAGGAUUUCCAAACUUCCUUUGGACCUGAGUGGGUAACAAAUUAGUAACCGCAGAUUACUAAACUAUUCCAAAGUAUUCUAACUCUUAACGAUAUUAAAGUUGUUAAACAUUUCUUGUAUUUUGUUAAAUAUAUUUUUUGAAUUA